UACAGAGGUCCCAAGCGUUGUUCGGAUUCAUUGGGCGUAAAGGGCUCGUAGGCGGUCUGUUGCGUCGGGAGUGAAAACUUACAGCUUAACUGUGAGCGUGCUUCCGAUACGGGCAGACUUGAGGUAUUCAGGGGAGAACGGAAUUCCUGGUGUAGCGGUGAAAUGCGCAGAUAUCAGGAAGAACACCCGUGGCGAAGGCGGUUCUCUGGGACGGUACUGACGCUGAGGCGCGAAAGCGUGGGGAGCAAACAGG
rnacentral:rRNA from 1 species